rnacentral:lncRNA from 1 species
UACAGCGAUGAUUCGUCGGAGGAGGCGAUGAGAGUUACACGUAGUAUUAUGAUAAUAAAACCUCCGGGAUUCCAAAACGGAUCGCCGCCGGUGUCCCCGGCCGGAUCUACACCCCCGGUAUCUCCUUUUUCCGGUAAGCUCGCAGAAUUUCCUUUAAAAUGCCAAAAAUGCCCUCGCUUAUUUGUUUCAUAUGCGAAAGCCCCACUCCAUGAAAAGUGGAGGUGGGGAAAUCUAGAAAGACCCUACACAAAAGUAAAACGGGCAGUAUGGUAAUUUUAGUUGACAUGUUUCCCAGUCAAAUGGAUGUAAUGAUAAUGGGUGAGAGAGUAGGAGUUAGGUCAUGGAAAUUUAUGGUAUUGGGGUUUGUUUUGGUUGGUUAGAAAAUGACGUUUUUGUCCUCAUCCACGUACAAUAAUGCAAUGGGCCAUGUUUGCUAUUUAUAAUGCUUUAUUUUUUUGUUAAACUAUUCGUGCCCUUCUUAAGACGUACACAUAAGUUUAGUAAAUACAUGAAAGUUUUGGCCUUUUUGGGUUGGAUUUCAUCUUAUUUUAUUAUAUAAUUGUUAGAAAAUUGAUGAAUUAAAUUAUAUGCUGGUAAACAAUUCCAUAUAUAAGAAAAGGUGGCAUGAAAUAAACCUUACACCCUUGUCUUAUAGGAUGCAAGAUGGAUCUUGUAGUCUAGAUUUAGUGUGAUGAAGCUUGAAUUAUGGGUGUAUUUGGAGGUUAGAUCUAAAAAUAAACCCCAUGAUUCAUUGAUAUGUAGAUGUUGAUUUCAUGAAUUCUAGUACAAGUAUUGGAAUGAAGCCUUAUAUCCCAUGUUGAAUAUCCAUCCAAAUAUAGCUUCAUGGUAUUGUUACAUAAUUCUAUGUGUUAGAAUGAAUUGUUUUGAUGGUGAAACAUGGUUAUGGGUGUAUGUAUUUCAUUGAAAACAUAGAAUCUAAUGUUGUUAUUAUUAUUAUUAUUAUCAUGGUUCUUACAUUGAUUCCAUGGCUGGUUUACAUACAAGGUGGGAAGGAGUCUUUCCGGUUUCGCCGGCGAUCUACAUCGGAUGCUUACGAGAAGGGGAAUGGGGUUGGACCAAGGAGCCCUCGUCCUCCUUACGACGUGUGAGAUCUGAUCCUGGAGAUCUGGUUAUCUGGUUGCACCAGCACCCUAGCUUCUGGCUUCUUUUUCCAUGUAUCAAUCCCACCUCCCAUGAUCAUGUACGUGAGGAGGAGCUACAUAAAGAUAUGAAUAUGUGUGUGUGUGUAGUGUUUGCUUGUGGGUUGUGCAUGUGGCUAAGCUAGCCCUGUAAAUAUGGGGAUCUCUGCAUGCAUGCAUGCAUGCAUGGAUCCUAGUAGU